GUCUUAAAAUAACUACGCUUCAAAAGUGAAAAUGAAACUUAAGGCUUGUGAACACAAAGACAACUACACAACGUUAGUUUCACACAGGAUGUGGAUCCCGGUCUCCUGGGUGAUACCCUGUGUUCUGUGUCUCGUCCAUCUAGGGGCUGUGGCAAUAACCGCAAUAUUGACAAGCCAACGACAGGAGAUGGCAAGCAACCGUGACAACUGCUAUCUUCAAAUUUUUUUUCUUUUUUGAAUUCUUUGCAAUGGGAGUUCCGCAUUUUUACACUUUGCUACAAACGGCAGCAGCGCAACGAGGCGCUGAGCGUCUAUUCUGCACUGAGCGUUGUACGUACAGUAUGGUGUUUUUUUCUGUAUUUAAUUUGUCUUAAAACUGUCAUCUUUGUCCUUUAAAAAGCAACAAUAUACCUACUGAUAGCCUAACACCAAAGCGUAUUCGUACACAGUAGCACUGAAGUCAGGAUAAAGUAAUUUAUAAAAAUAGAAAAAGUUGCAAUAAUACCGCUUAUCGCACUGUUGAGCCAAUCAUUAUCACCGCUGGAUCUCUAUACUACAGCGCCUGACUUUCGCUUCUACUCCUGUCAUAAUUACUACGGUCGCUUUAAGUUCCUGUCGUCUUUUUUUAUACCUUCUUUCGGUGAUCUACCAUGUGAAUAGAUGAUAAAACAUACUAGUGGGUGUAGUAGGCCCCUUUUGACCCUCAUCUUAUGGUGCUUAUAGCGACUGAUGAUGCCUAUUUAAUAGCCUGACAACAGUCUUAUCGGCUGAAUUACCACAUGGUUAGUUUUAUUUGUGAAGUCUUAUUAAAUAAAAUGUACACUGACUGAUCUUUUA